UACGUAGGGUGCAAGCGUUAAUCGGAAUUACUGGGCGUAAAGCGUGCGCAGGCGGUUAUAUAAGACAGUUAUGAAAUCCCCGGGCUCAACCUGGGAACUGCAUUUGUGACUGUAUAGCUAGAGUACGGUAGAGGGGGAUGGAAUUCCGCGUGUAGCAGUGAAAUGCGUAGAUAUGCGGAGGAACACCGAUGGCGAAGGCAAUCCCCUGGACCUGUACUGACGCUCAUGCACGAAAGCGUGGGGAGCAAACAGG
rnacentral:rRNA from 1 species